GUUUACCAAAAACAUGGCUUCGUGUUCAUCCUAAAAUACGAAGUCGGACCUGCCCGGUGAAUUUUAAACGGCCGCGGUACUCUGACCGUGCAAAGGUAGCAUAAUCAUUUGCCUUAUAAUUGAAGGCUGGAAUGAAUGGUUUGACAAGAAUACAACUGUCUCUUUAUGACUUCCUAGAACUUUAUUUUUGGAUGAAAAAGUCCAGAUAUUAUUAAAAGACAAGAAGACCCUAUCGAGCUUUAGGAAAAUUGGUGGACUUAACAUUAAAACAAUAGAAAUAAAAGAAAAGCCAUCAAGUAUACUUUGGUUGGGGCAACCGAGGAGCAAGUAAAGCCUCCUUUGAAUUUUAAAUCAUACUUGUAUCGAUCCAAAUAUUUUGAUCAAAGGAAUUAGUUACCGUAGGGAUAACAGCAUUAUCUUUUUCGAGAGCCCAUAUCGAAAAAAAGGUUUGUGACCUCGAUGUUGGACCAGAAUAUCCUAAAGAUGCAGAAGUCUUUAAGGGUUGGUCUGUUCGACCAUUAAAAUUCUACGUGAUCUGAGUUCAGACCGG
rnacentral:rRNA from 1 species